rnacentral:misc_RNA from 1 species
CUGUUAUCCCUAGAGUAACUUUUAUCCGUUGAGUGACGGCCUUUCCACUCAGCACCGUCAGAUCACUAAGACCGACUUUCGUCCCUGCUCGACUUGUAGGUCUCACAGUCAAGCUUGCUUCUGCUUUUACACUCGUCGGCUGAUUUCCAACCAGCCUGAGCAAACCUUUGCGCGCCUCCGUUACCUUUUAGGAGGCGACCGCCCCAGUCAAACUGCCCACCUGAUACUGUCCGGUCCCCGGAUAACGGGUGACCGUUAGAAUCCUAGCUCUGAAAGAGUGGUAUCUCACCGUUGGCUCGUAUCAACCCGCAAGCUGAUAAUCAAAGCCUCCCACCUAUCCUGCGCAUUCAGAGCCCGGACACAAUACCAAGCUACAGUAAAGCUUCAUAGGGUCUUUCUG